rnacentral:rRNA from 1 species
UACGUAGGGGGCAAGCGUUGUCCGGAAUCAUUGGGCGUAAAGGGCGUGUAGGCGGGCAGGAAAGUCAGAUGUGAAAUCCCCAGGCUCAACCUGGGAACUGCAUUUGAAACUCCCUUUCUUGAGUACCGGAGAGGAAAGUGGAAUUCCAAGUGUAGCGGUGAAAUGCGUAGAGAUUUGGAGGAACACCAGUGGCGAAGGCGACUCUUUGGCCUGUAACUGACACUGAGGCGCGAAAGCGUGGGGAGCAAACAGG